CCUACGGGUGGCAGCAGUGAGGAAUAUUGGUCAAUGGACGAGAGUCUGAACCAGCCAAGUAGCGUGAAGGAUGACUGCCCUAUGGGUUGUAAACUUCUUUUAUAUGGGAAUAAAAUGUUCCACGUGUGGGAUUUUGUAUGUACCAUAUGAAUAAGGAUCGGCUAACUCCGUGCCAGCAGCCGCGGUAAUACGGAGGAUCCGAGCGUUAUCCGGAUUUAUUGGGUUUAAGGGGAGCGUAGGUGGAUUGUUAAGUCAGUUGUGAAAGUUUGCGGCUCAACCGUAAAAUUGCAGUUGAAACUGGCAGUCUUGAGUACAGUAGAGGUGGGCGGAAUGCGUGGUGUAGCGGUGAAAUGCUUAGAUAUCACGAAGAACUCCGAUUGCGAAGGCAGUUCACUGGACUGCAACUGACACUGAGGCUCGAAAGUGUGGGUAUCAAACAGGAUUAGAUACCCCAGUAGUC
rnacentral:rRNA from 1 species